GGGGAUUUAGUUUACAGCAUAUGACCUUUGGGGAACACACUUAAACCAUAGUGCCAUCUUCAGUCUGAGAAGAAUUUCUGUCUUUCAUUGAAGUUCCAAAGGCUUCUUAUUUUGAUGACUUUGCCUAAAGAAGGGAUUCUACAGCCAAAUGCUUUCUUUUUAACAUACCGAAUGAGUAAAAGUGCAAAAUAAGUACAGAACUAUCAAACAGCAACAAAUGUGCUUCUGCUGCCUACCACAGAAUUUUCCUUGGUGAGAAGAAAACCCUACAUUACAUUUCUUUUUGGCUUCUGUCUCUGCAGCCUCAGAGUUGAUGACGAAUGCAGUCCUGCUCCACUUUGAUUCCAUCUGGCUCUGGAAGGUGUUUCUGAAGAUUUGUGAACAGCAUUUGGAUUUGUUUGUUUUUAUUUAUAUUGUCUUUUUACUAUGAUGUAUAAAUAUGUCCUGUAAUGUCAUUGAUUUAUAUCAUGAGUGAGACAAUCAAGUGUUAAAAUGGAACUUGUUG
rnacentral:lncRNA from 1 species